AGCGGCGGACGGGUGAGUAACGCGUGGGUAACCUGCCCUAUACACACGGAUAACAUAUCGAAAGAUAUGCUAAUACGAGAUAAUACAUUUUUAAGGCAUCUUAAAAAUGUCAAAGAUUUUAUCGGUGUAGGAUGGACCCGCGUCCCAUUAGCUAGUUGGUGAGGUAAAAGCUUACCAAGGCGACGAUGGGUAGCCGACCUGAGAGGGUGAUCGGCCACACUGGAACUGAGACACGGUCCAGACUCCUACGGGAGGCAGCAGUGGGGAAUAUUGCACAAUGGGGGAAACCCUGAUGCAGCAACGCCGCGUGAGCGAUGAAGGCCUUCGGGUCGUAAAGCUCUGUCCUAAGGGAAGAUAAUGACGGUACCUUAGGAGGAAGCCCCGGCUAACUACGUGCCAGCAGCCGCGGUAAUACGUAGGGGGCAAGCGUUAUCCGGAAUAACUGGGCGUAAAGGGUGCGUAGGCGGCCCUGCAAGUCAGAAGUGAAAGGCUACGGCUCAACCGUAGUAAGCUUUUGAAACUGUAGGGCUUGAGUGCAGGAGAGGAGAGUAGAAUUCCUAGUGUAGCGGUGAAAUGCGUAGAUAUUAGGAGGAAUACCAGUUGCGAAGGCGGCUCUCUGGACUGUAACUGA
rnacentral:rRNA from 1 species